rnacentral:lncRNA from 1 species
UUUGCUUCUCUACGCCAGCGCUUUUAUCAGCGUCAUCACGCAACGAGCUGACGCAGAUCCUCUCCGCGCGAAAUUUUGAGAGUUCCGUUGAGAACAAAACAAGAGCGCGAAGCAGCAGCUGCAGCAGCACCGCGCGCCGGUUCCGCUUCACAGCCGUAAAACUACCAACUGCAUCACGAUGGCGGAGCUCGGCUGCUACUCUCCCAGCUUCAAGAAACCGUCCGAGGUGCUGCGCAUGCGGAGGCAGCGGGCGCGGAGUGAAGGACCAGGCGGGAAAGUGUCGAGUCCAGCGCUAUCCGGGCUCCGGCCGUUUUCCCCGGGGCCGCUGCUCACCGCUCCGGGACGCGGUAACGGCGGAGUCAAGCGGAGAAACCCGUUCGCUAGCAUCGAGAACACCUACAGCAGCCCGAAGAAGAGGGCUUUAAUACAGGAGGAUGGUAGAAAGAGCUCAGCCGCGGGUCCAGACGAGAAACUCCGAGAAGAACCGAAAACCGGAGCUUUACUGCGGGAGGAGCUGCUGCACACUGACCGACUCAAACAACAGCACACACAGGCAGCGGUGUCUCUCUCUGAAGCUGACGGUGUGUUUGAGGAUGAUCUGUUUGAUCCGCAGAGCUCCGCUGCGGUGCUGAAGGUGAGUGGACGAUGCUCGUAUGUGGAUUUAUUUGUGGGAUUGACAGGCUUCCUGUGGGUUGUGGAAUAUCUGAAAUAUCUAUCAAUAUUUCAGGGAAAAUCAGGGAAUUGUAUUUAAUUUUUGUCCGAGUCAUGGAAUAUGAAGGAUUAUUGCAUGUCAUUAUAAAUUUGGUAUUUUUUUUAUUUAUUAUAUGUAUUUUGUUUUGCUGUAGCGUGUUUUCAUCAUGCUGUUUCGUGUGUGUUUGCAUAUGGUUAUGGUUAUCGAUACAGUGAAUGUUCAAAUAGUCCAGUGAUUACCGAAGUGGGGGUUGGGGACAUUUAUGAAGUCAUUGAUGCAGAUGGCUUGUGGAGAGGCAGAAGAGUGGGAGGUUGGGAACUCUUGAAUUAUGCUGUGCUGACCAGUGUGUGUGCGCGUGUUUGGGUUUGCAGAGUCCAGAGGCACUCCGUGACUCUUCUCCGUCUGAGGUGUGUGUGGAGUAUCCGGCUGACUGGUCUCUGAAAACGCGUCUGCUGUUCACGUCUCCUCAGUCGUUCUCCUGGGCUGAGCAUCUGAAGGCGCAGGAGGAGGCGCAGGGCUUGAGUUCUCACUGCAGAGCCCAGUUCAGCAACAUUCCUGCUCACAUACCGGUAUAUAUAUACACACACACACACACACACACACACAAAAUAUAUACACACACACACACAAUAUAUAUAUAUAUAUACACACACACACACACACACACAAAAUA